AUGGCAAACUCCAGCAAAAAGGGGAAAGCAUAGAGGACUCCUCCGAAGUGGUGUGGCCAGGCGAAACAACACUUCCAGGAAUUCGGUCUGAAGCAAAGCACUAAGUAUCCUGUAGGUAAACGGGAUGCGUACGCCCCGAAGGAGACCAAGCUUGGAAAACGCGUCCCUCGUCUCGCUGAGGGUCCGGCAGCAAGCUGGAGAACUGCUCCGUAUGGCAGUUCGCACCGAAUGUAAUCAUGCCAGUACUUGAGACCCCGGAGGGUGAGGCAACCAAUCAUUGUGGUCUCUCCAUGGUCGGGUGAAGCCGUCCGCCACAUGAGUGUCUCAUCCCGCAGACAUUCUGCCACAAAUGAUGAAUACUUGUCCAGAAGCUAUAGAUAGUGAUCCUACGUGAGAUCUGACUGCAGUCCGUAGUGGGCAACCGGUGAUAAGUCCAUGCCGGAAGGUAGCGAGCAAUACUACUUCCUCCGGACUCCAGGGUCCAGGCCAAAGUUGGUUGUGGUCCAAAACUCCUAGGUAGGCCAGGUGCCCCUAUGUCGGAGUCAUCAAUUAAGUUUUAGAUGAGCU